rnacentral:rRNA from 1 species
UACGAAGGGGGCUAGCGUUGUUCGGAAUUACUGGGCGUAAAGCGUACGUAGGCGGGUAUUUAAGUCAGGGGUGAAAUCCCAGAGCUCAACUCUGGAACUGCCUUUGAUACUGGGGACCUUGAGUAUGGAAGAGGUAAGUGGAAUUCCGAGUGUAGAGGUGAAAUUCGUAGAUAUUCGGAGGAACACCAGUGGCGAAGGCGGCUUACUGGUCCAUUACUGACGCUGAGGUGCGAAAGCGUGGGGAGCAAACAGG